AUUGAACGCUGGCGGCAGGCCUAACACAUGCAAGUCGAGCGGAUGAAGGGAGCUUGCUCCUGGAUUCAGCGGCGGACGGGUGAGUAAUGCCUAGGAAUCUGCCUGGUAGUGGGGGAUAACGUCCGGAAACGGGCGCUAAUACCGCAUACGUCCUGAGGGAGAAAGUGGGGGAUCUUCGGACCUCACGCUAUCAGAUGAGCCUAGGUCGGAUUAGCUAGUUGGUGGGGUAAAGGCCUACCAAGGCGACGAUCCGUAACUGGUCUGAGAGGAUGAUCAGUCACACUGGAACUGAGACACGGUCCAGACUCCUACGGGAGGCAGCAGUGGGGAAUAUUGGACAAUGGGCGAAAGCCUGAUCCAGCCAUGCCGCGGGUGGGAAGAAGGUCUUCGGAUUGUAAAGCACUUUAAGUUGGGAGGAAGGGCAGUAAGUUAAUACCUUGCUGUGUUGACGUUACCAACAGAAUAAGCACCGGCUAACUUCGUG
rnacentral:rRNA from 1 species